rnacentral:lncRNA from 1 species
GGCUUUUUCACCUGCUUUGUUUUGCAUUUGGCUUUUCAGGAGGCAGUUGUGCGUGCUAUUUCCGCGGAAUGCUUCAAGUUUUCUUUCUUUCGUUCCUCUUUGGCUGUGCUUUGCUAUGCUGCGCCAAGCUGUCCGAUGGGCCUUUUCUCUCUGUGUUGUUUUCCUUUGCUUUGUAGCCUUUUUCUUUCCUAUCUUUCUAAUUGGUUUUGCCUUGCCUUGCUUUGCUUUGCUGUGUUCCUUUCCUUUCUUUGCAUUUGCAGAUGACUUUUCUCUGCUGCUCCUCUGGCUCGGCUUUUGCAUUGUUUGUUUUUCAUUGCUGUUGCUUCUUUACCGCGCGGUUCCUUUCUUUGCAUGCCUUGCAUGCCUUGCUUGGUGGAUUCCUUUUCUCUUCCUUUGAAAUGGAUUUUCUUUGCUUUCCAUGGCUUUCCUCUCCUUUUCCUUUCUUUUCACGCUCCUUUUCCCUCCCUUCCUUUCGCUUCCUUGGCGCCAUGCCCUUCCCUUUCCUUUGAGCUUACCUUCGCUUCCCUGACGUGAUCUCUCUUGAUUGUUUCUCUCUCUCUUCUUUUCCGACGUGUUUAACUCAAGCCUCGUCUCUGCGCUUUCCUCCAGUGUAGGAAAUCAGCGGGAGAAAUGCGACGGCCAUAGUAGAUAAUCAGCAAAUCUCGUUUAUUGUUUCAGCUGCAUGUACAUUUAUAGUGUGGAUAAUAGGCUCAUACAUACUGCUAAAGUGGAGCUCAGGAUUGGCUCGCUAGUCAGUGUCAACUACGCCUAACUUUGUGCUCUGUGGUUAUCUCACAGCAAACACUCUCUUACAGACUUCUCAAAACACUGUUGCCGGCUUUCUCCAUUGGCAUCCUGUUUUGUUCCUAGUUCUCAUACCUGACCUUGCACGUAACAAGGUUGCUUAACCAGCUGCACAGUGUCUGCAUGGCUUUUCUCAGUCAGCCAGUCAUCAGUAAAUCUCUCCACACUCCAGUGCCUGCUGGAUUUGCAGGUGUUUCUCAAUUGCAGGGAUGGGUUCCUGCCUCCUGGGUGUCCUUGCUUCUUCCCUGGGGGUGGUCUUCAGGCUGUUCAUCUGAUGGCUGGGUAGAUCCAUGCCCGGUAGCUACCCUUUCCUCCUCCUUGGCAUGACCUGGAGG